UAGAGUUUGAUCCUGGCUCAGAUUGAACGCUGGCGGCAUGCUUUACACAUGCAAGUCGAACGGGGUUAAGGGGCUUGCUCCUUAAUCUAGUGGCGAACGGGUGAGUAAUGCAUCGGAACGUACCCGGGAGUGGGGGAUAACGCACCGAAAGGUGUGCUAAUACCGCAUAUUCUGUGAGCAGGAAAGCAGGGGACCUUAGGGCCUUGUGCUUCCGGAGCGGCCGAUGUCGGAUUAGCUAGUUGGUGAGGUAAAGGCUCACCAAGGCGACGAUCCGUAGCGGGUCUGAGAGGAUGAUCCGCCACACUGGGACUGAGACACGGCCCAGACUCCUACGGGAGGCAGCAGUGGGGAAUUUUGGACAAUGGGCGCAAGCCUGAUCCAGCCAUGCCGCGUGUCUGAAGAAGGCCUUCGGGUUGUAAAGGACUUUUGUCA
rnacentral:rRNA from 1 species